rnacentral:rRNA from 1 species
AGCAGCCGCGGUAAUUCCAGCUCCAAUAGCGUAUAUUAAAGUUGUUGCAGUUAAAAAGCUCGUAGUUGAAUUUCAGGCCUGGCUGGACGGUCCGCCCUUCGGGUGAGUACUGUCUGUGGUCGGGUCCUACCUUCUGGCGAAGCGUCAUGGCCUUAACCGGCCGUGGCGGGGAACCAGGACUUUUACUGUGAAAAAUUAGAGUGUUCAAAGCAGGCAAAUCGCUUGGAUACAUUAGCAUGGAAUAAUGGAAUAGGACAAUGGUUCUAUUUGUUGGUUUCUAGGACCGUUGUAAUGAUUAAUAGGGAUAGUUGGGGGCAUUAGUAUUCAAUUGUCAGAGGUGAAAUUCUUGGAUUUAUUGAAGACUAACUACUGCGAAAGCAUUUGCCAAGGAUGUUUUCAUUAAUCAAGAACGAAAGUUAGGGGAUCGAAGACGAUCAGAUACCGUCGUAGUCUUAACCAUAAACUAUGCCGACUAGGAAUCGGGC